GAAACUCAAAGGAAUUGACGGGGGCCCGCACAAGCGGCGGAGCAUGUGGAUUAAUUCGAUGCAACGCGAGGAACCUUACCUGGGCUUGACAUACACCAGAUCGGCGCAGAGAUGCGUUUUUCCCUUGUGGUUGGUGUACAGGUGGUGCAUGGUUGUCGUCAGCUCGUGUCGUGAGAUGUUGGGUUAAGUCCCGCAACGAGCGCAACCCUUGUCUUAUGUUGCCAGCACGUGAUGGUGGGGACUCAUGAGAGACUGCCGGGGUUAACUCGGAGGAAGGUGGGGAUGACGUCAAAUCAUCAUGCCCCUUAUGUCCAGGGCUUCACACAUGCUACAAUGGUCGGUACAACGCGUGUGCGACACUGUGAGGUGAAGCUAAUCGCUCUAAAGCCGGUCGUAGUUCGGAUUGGGGUCUGCAACUCGACCCCAUGAAGUCGGAGUCGCUAGUAAUCGCAGAUCAGCAACGCUGCGGUGAAUACGUUCCCGGGCCUU
rnacentral:rRNA from 1 species